GCUCAGUAACACGUGGAUAACCUGCCCUUGGGUCUGGGAUAACCCCGGGAAACUGGGGAUAAUACCGGAUAACGCAUAUAUGCUGGAAUGCUUUAUGCGUAAAAUGGAUUCGUCUGCCCAAGGAUGGGUCUGCGGCCUAUCAGGUAGUAGUGGGUGUAAUGUACCUACUAGCCUACAACGGGUACGGGUUGUGAGAGCAAGAGCCCGGAGAUGGAUUCUGAGACAUGAAUCCAGGCCCUACGGGGCGCAGCAGGCGCGAAAACUUUACAAUGCGGGAAACCGUGAUAAGGGGACACCGAGUGCCAGCAUCAUAUGUUGGCUGUCCAGAUGUGUAAAAUACAUCUGUUAGCAAGGGCCGGGCAAGACCGGUGCCAGCCGCCGCGGUAACACCGGCGGCCCGAGUGGUGAUCGUGAUUAUUGGGUCUAAAGGGUCCGUAGCCGGUUUGGUCAGUCCUCCGGGAAAUCUGACGGCUCAACCGUUAGGCUUUCGGUGGAUACUGCCAGACUUGGAACCGGGAGAGGUAAGAGGUACUACAGGGGUAGGAGUGAAAUCUUGUAAUCCCUGUGAGACCACCUGUGGCGAAGGCGUCUUACCAGAACGGGUUCGACGGUGAGGGACGAAAGCUGGGGGCACGAACCGGAUUAGAUACCCGGGUAGUCCCAGCCGUAAACGAUGCUCGCUAGGUGUCAGGCAUGGCGCGACCGUGUCUGGUGCCGCAGGGAAGCCGUGAAGCGAGCCACCUGGGAAGUACGGCCGCAAGGCUGAAACUUAAAGGAAUUGGCGGGGGAGCAC
rnacentral:rRNA from 1 species